rnacentral:tRNA from 3 species
UGCAGGGUGGAGCAGUCUGGUAGCUCGUCAGGCUCAUAACCUGAAGGUCCCCGGUUCAAAUCCGGGCCCUGCACCCA